GAAUUCAGUUCCCCCUGUUUCCCCUUUAACGCGCAUGUGCAAAAAUCAUGACGUUUUUUUCAGUCGCUUCGUUGAGCGUCGGUUUAUUUGGAAUAUGUGUUUAUAGCGCCUGUGAUGGAUGUGACAGAUGGUACCACCAGUCAUGUGUUGGCAACCCACCAGUAGAGGAAGACCUUCAUUGUCCGGCAUGUACUGAAGAUUAGACCAAGUAACUGCUUUAUCCUGGUCAUGGCCGUGGAGGAUCCAGAACUGUUCCUGGGGAAACUGGACGUAUGGCAGGAGUGCACCAUGGAUGUGAUGCUAGUCAAUCCCAGGGCACCAUCCCAGAUUUUAUUUUAUUUCGUUUAAAAAUAUAUAUAUUUCUAUUAAGCUAUAAAUAUGUAUUUAAGUUUUAAUUUGCAUU